UUCUGGAUCGCGUUAGGAACUGGAUAAAGA
rnacentral:piRNA from 1 species